AACGAACGCUGGCGGCAGGCUUAAUACAUGCAAAUCGAGCGGGCACUUCGGUGUCAGCGGCGCACGGGUGCGUAACGCGUGGGAACAUGCCUUUAGGUACGGAACAACCAAGGGAAACUUUGGCUAAUACCGUAUAAUAUCUCUGGAUCAAAGAUUUAUCGCCUAAAGAUUGGCCCGCGUUAGAUUAGGUAGUUGGUGGGGUAAUGGCCUACCAAGCCGACGAUCUAUAGGGGGUCUGAGAGGAUGAUCCCCCACACUGGAACUGAGACACGGUCCAGACUCCUACGGGAGGCAGCAGUAAGGAAUAUUGGACAAUGGGCGAAAGCCUGAUCCAGCCAUGCCGCGUGAGUGAUGAAGGCCUUAGGGUUGUAAAGCUCUUUUAGAUGGGAAGAUAAUGACUGUACCAUCAGAAUAAGCCCCGGCUAAAUUCGUG
rnacentral:rRNA from 1 species